GGAGCCGGAAUUCCAAAGGUUGGAUCCAAAGGGAGCCGGAAUUCCAAAGGUGGGAUCCAAAGGGAGCCAGAAUUCCGGGAAAGGUGGGAUCCAAAGGGAGUCGGAAUUCCAAAGGUCGGAUCCAAAGGGAGCCCGGAAUUCCAAAGGUGGGAUCCAAAGGGAGCCCGGAAUUCCGGGAAAGGGAAAGGUGGGAUCCAAAGGGAGCCCAGAAUUCCAGGAAAAUCAAAGGGAAAGGCCGGAUCCAAAAGGAGUCAGAAUUCCGGGAAAGGCCGGAUCCAGAGGGAGCCGGAAUUCCGGGAAUUCCAAAGGUGGGAUCCAAAGGGAGCCAGAAUUCCAGGAGAUCCAAAGGGA